GUGCCCUACGGGGGGCAGCAGUGAGGCCUCUCGGUCAAUGGUCGGGAGACUGAACCAGCCAAGCCGCGUGAGGGAUGAAGGUACAGAGUAUCGUAAACCUCUUUUGUCAGGGAGCAAAGGGCGCCACGUGUGGCGUUUUGCGAGUACCUGAAGAAAAAGCAUCGGCUAACUCCGUGCCAGCAGCCGCGGUAAUACGGAGGAUGCGAGCGUUAUCCGGAUUUAUUGGGUUUAAAGGGUGCGCAGGCGGAAUGUCAAGUCAGCGGUAAAAUUUCGGGGCUCAACCCCGUCGUGCCGUUGAAACUGGC
rnacentral:rRNA from 1 species